rnacentral:rRNA from 1 species
UGAGCCUGCACUUGAUUAGUUUGUUGGUGGGGUAAUGGCCUACCAAGACUGUGAUCAAUAGCUGAUUUGAGAGGAUGAUCAGCCACAUUGGGACUGAGACACGGCCCAAACUCCUACGGGAGGCAGCAGUGGGGAAUCUUGCACAAUGGAGGAAACUCUGAUGCAGCGAUGCCGCGUGAGUGAAGAAGGCCUUUGGGUUGUAAAGCUCUUUCGUCGGG